rnacentral:lncRNA from 1 species
AGAAGUCGAGAUACAAAAACUUUGAUGAACUAUAUCUUUACUGCUACUAUGUUGCUGGGACAGUCGGUAUAAUGAGUGUUCCAAUCAUGGGCAUUUCUCCAUAUUCACAAGCCACAACUGAGAGUGUUUACAAUGCUGCCUUGGCCCUGGGAAUUGCAAAUCAGUUAACCAACAUACUCAGAGAUGUUGGAGAGGAGUAAGUUCGUAAAUAUUAAUCUUCAUUUAGGUCUUUUAGAAAGGUUGAAGAAAAUACGUGUUGAAUCAAGAUUGUGAAGUUUACUUCUCUCACUCAUUACAUGUCAAUGUCUAACUUGAUUUUUGAUGAUUAUGAGAUGCAUAUCACCUUAUUGAGACACAGGAUAGCUGGACUUUAUUGUCUCAUUAAAAAAGUAAAAGCAUGAGAUGUAUAGGAGUUUCUUUUAUUGUUAACACACCAGUGAGCCAUUCCUGCUAUGUGUGGUUGGGUUUGUCUAACCUGAUUAGCUAGAGAAAUGAAAAAUAGGUGGCUGAAAAUGAAAAAAUAUAGUUGAACUAAUACCAAAUUAUGCUUCAAGGGUACCAUGUUAGUUUAUUCUGAUAUUGAUUUCAAGAAUGAAUCUGCAUCUUAAUUUUGUUACACCCUUCUUAUUUUCAACAGUGCCAGCAGAGGAAGAGUGUAUCUACCUCAAGAUGAGUUGGCUCAAGCAGGGCUUUCGGAUGAGGACAUAUUUGCUGGUAAGGUGACAGACAAGUGGAGGAACUUCAUGAAGCACCAAAUUAAAAGGGCUAGAAUGUUUUUUGAUGAGGCAGAAAAGGGUGUGACGGAGCUUAAU